rnacentral:rRNA from 1 species
GUGUCCUACGGGACGCAGCAGUGGGGAAUAUUGCACAAUGGGGGAAACCCUGAUGCAGCGACGCCGCGUGAAGGAAGAAGUAUCUCGGUAUGUAAACUUCUAUCAGCAGGGAAGAAAAUGACGGUACCUGACUAAGAAGCUCCGGCUAAAUACGUGCCAGCAGCCGCGGUAAUACGUAUGGGGCAAGCGUUAUCCGGAUUUACUGGGUGUAAAAGGAGCGCAGGCGGCUUGGCAAGUCUGAUGUGAAAGGCUG